UACGUAGGGCGCAAGCGUUGUCCGGAAUUAUUGGGCGUAAAGAGCUCGUAGGUGGUCUGUUGCGUCCGCUGUGAAAACCUAAGGCUUAACCUUGGGCCUGCAGUGGAUACGGGCAGACUAGAGGUAGGUAGGGGAGAAUGGAAUUCCCGGUGUAGCGGUGAAAUGCGCAGAUAUCGGGAGGAACACCGGUGGCGAAGGCGGGUCUCUGGGCCGAUACUGACGCUGAGGCACGAAAGCCAGGGGAGCAAACGGG
rnacentral:rRNA from 1 species